GGCUAGGGGUGGGUGGCCGCAGAGACCAGCGGAAAGCGACUGUUUACUAAAAACACAGGUCCAUGCGAAGUCGCAAGACGAUGUAUAUGGACUGACGCCUGCCCGGUGCUGGAACGUUAAGAGGACCGGUUAGCCUUUCGGGGCGAAGCUGAGAAUUUAAGCGCCAGUAAACGGCGGUGGUAACUAUAACCAUCCUAAGGUAGCGAAAUUCCUUGUCGGGUAAGUUCCGACCUGCACGAAUGGCGUAACGACUUUCCGGCUGUCUCAACCACAGGCCCGGCGAAAUUGCACUACGAGUAAAGAUGCUCGUUACGCGCGGCAGGACGGAAAGACCCCGGGACCUUUACUAUAGUUUGGUAUUGGUUUUCGGUUCGGCUUGUGUAGGAUAGGUGGGAGACUGUGAAGCGGUGACGCUAGUUACUGUGGAGUCGUUGUUGAAAUACCACUCUGGUCGAAUUGGGAAUCUGAACCUCGGGCCAUGAUCUGGUUCAGGGACAGUGCCUGAUGGGUAGUUUAACUGGGGCGGUUGCCUCCUAAAGAGUAACGGAGGCGCCCAAAGGUUCCCUCAGCCUGGUUGGCAAUCAGGUGUUGAGUGCAAGUGCACAAGGGAGCUUGACUGUGAGACAGACAUGUCGAGCAGGGACGAAAGUCGGGACUAGUGAUCCGGCACCUCCUGGUGGAAGGGGUGUCGCUCAACGGAUAAAAGGUACCCCGGGGAUAACAGGCUGAUCUUGCCCAAGAGUCCAUAUCGACGGCAUGGUUUGGCACCUCGAUGUCGGCUCGUCGCAUCCUGGGGCCGGAGUAGGUCCCAAGGGUUGGGCUGUUCGCCCAUUAAAGCGGCACGCGAGCUGGGUUUAGAACGUCGUGAGACAGUUCGGUCCCUAUCCGCCGCGCGCGUAGGAUACUUGAGGAAGGCUGUCCCUAGUACGAGAGGACCGGGACGGACGAACCUCUGGUGUGCCAGUUGUUCUGCCAAGGGCAUGGCUGGUUGGCCACGUUCGGAAGGGAUAACCGCUGAAGGCAUCUAAGCGGGAAGCCUGUUCCAAGAUGAGGUAUCCCACCCUUUGUGGGUUAAGGCUCCCAAUAGACCAUUGGGUUGAUAGGCCAGAUAUGGAAGCACAGUAAUGUGUUGUUGAGUUGACUGGUACUAAUAGGCCGAGGACUUGUCUAC
rnacentral:rRNA from 1 species